GCCGGCAUGACCGACGAGGCGCGCAGCAAGGUCGUCUACGAGGUGGCCGACCUGUGGUUCCACACCAUGGUGCUGCUG
rnacentral:tRNA from 1 species